GACGAACCGUGCGAACGUUGUUCGGAAUCACUGGGCUUAAAGGGAGCGUAGGCGGGCUAUCAAGUCUGGGGUGAAAUCCCACGGCUCAACCGUGGAACUGCCUCAGAUACUGACGGCCUCGAGGAAGGUAGGGGCAUGCGGAACUAACGGUGGAGCGGUGAAAUGCGUUGAUAUCGUUAGGAACUCCGGUGGCGAAAGCGGCGUGCUGGACCUUUUCGUG
rnacentral:rRNA from 1 species